CACUUCUUAGGAUCUGCUCAAAGUCUGCGGUUACAGAGACAUUAAAUCAGCUGUAACUGCCUGUUCCUCAAAGAGCACUUGAAGCCAAAUCACCUCUACCUAUUACUCGUCACGACUCGGUACACCAGGAGUUCCUGCUAAGUAACCCCAAACUUGUCAAGUACGCCAGAAUCGCCUGUAAAUCCGGGAAGCGCGAUUCUUUGUAAAAGGCUCACAGGUUCUGAUCGCGGCAGAGAAGGGAUUCGCCAUAGUAACAAACCCCCACCCGCACCGCGGGUCACAGCUGGGAGCCUGGCGCGGCGAGCCCCGCACCCCUCGGCACCACGCACACCUGCCCGGCGCCGGGAAGGCGGGACGAGCCGGGAGAAGUCAGCAAUCUGUCCGCACGAGGAGAGGCACCGCACCGGGGAUUCCCUGUCCCCAGCGGCGGCACAACCACGGCCCCGGCCUCGUAUAAAGGGGCGGAGGGAGGGGAAUCCCGGACCAGCUCACGCCAAGCCCCACCGGCACCACGGCAAGCGCCCGCCUCGUACUUAUUUACGCGGCACGAAGGGGGCGGGAGGUUCGGGAGGAGCUGCCGGGGCCGGACCCUCCCCCGGGCCGCAUCCAGCGGGGAAUCUGCAUCCGGAUAGAGGGAGGGAGCUCCUCGCACGGACCGACUGGCCGCGGGCAGGGCAGCGCUAAGUUCUUCCUAAGGCCAGUAAUUGAAGGAGCGAGUGAAAAUCCUCGGGAGAUGCCGCCUAUGAGAAAUUUCGGUUAUGUGCCUGAGCAGCUUCUGGAGCCGCAGAGGAUGGAGCUCGCCCUCACACAUAGACGGCUUCCCCUUUUUUUAUCGAGGAUCUUAAGCUUAGGAGAACAUCUGUGAAUCUGGUAACAUUAAAAUCCUCUCAUAACUGCACCCCGCAGUGAGCGAGAGUUCAGCACUCUGUUGGAAGAUGCACUCUUGGAUUCAGAUACUAUUUUUUUCUGGUUAUGCAGGGGAUUUACUUGAAACCCCAGAAAGCGCUCCACAUCCUCAGAAUUGACAGUGUAGUUUGAAUCGGUCUGACCAGUGCUUCCCCAGAACACAUACACACACCUCAGAUACUGAUUUCCUUAGCGAGAAGAGGCUUUAAAAUGUGAAUAAUGAAUUUUGUGACUCAAUUCAAAGAGGUGUGGUGAAUGCCAAGAGCAGCAUUGUUAUACAUUUAAAUAACAAUGUGGUUUUUUAGUAGCGUCCUACAGAAAAAAAAAGAAAAAAAAUUCAAACAAGUAAGCAAAAGCACCAUGUUCCUCGUACGAAAUUUGAUUUAUUUUCACUAGGAUACUCAAUAAAGGAUUUGAUCAGGAACUGAGGACAAGGUAACUAAUCAGAGCAAAGAAUAAACAAGGUUUUAAAUGCCAGAAAUGUGUACUUCUACCUAUGUAUGCCCACUGGGAAUUUUUCUGUCCUUUUUUUCACUUAAAUUUACUCAAAUGCCUUGCAUCUGGGGGAAGAAUAGGUAUUUUCCUAGACAGUGACAAGAAACAAGGUUUUAGAGAAGCUGCUCCUGGUGUUUUGUUCUCAGUUGUUAGCAGCAUGGAAGAAACUACAGCACUUAGAGCGUUCAGGCCUCUCAAGGGAGCACUGUCAGACCCAAACCUCACUGGCUUCUUGAGGUUUUGCACCUCAUAGAGCAAUGCCUUUACAUAUAAAUGAAGUGUAAACUGUUCCCUCGAGGUGCUCUGUGUGGUAACUCCCUGGCAAGCAAGUGAAUCACAGAUGUAAGUAGCCUGCUCUCUUUUAAGUUGGACUGUUCUGAUUUCAGCAGGGAGUUACAAACACCACAGCAUCAAGCACAAGCCUUGAAAGUUUCAUAAAUGGGCAUCAAGUGCAAGUUGCUCAUUUGAAAGACUCCUGACAAAAACCAGGAAGGCCAACUCUAGGAACAUCAACGAACUUUUAAAAAAAAUCUACUUUCAUGCUGAGCUACUUACCUUAUCUGCUUUAAACUGGGAAGAAGGGCUACUCUGCAACUGACUGUCCAAUAAUGUAUUUGACAGGAGUACAGUUUUCACUUUCCAGGUUUAGACUAUAUGGUAACAACUUUUAUGAAACAAAAACAGGCCAGCAUGAUUUAAGACAACAUGGACAGAGCAAAUUCUGCACAUAACGAAAGGUCAUUUAAACCAGCUACAUUAUCAAUUGAUAUUUCUUAAUUUUACUUUUUGGACUGUUAAGUGGCAUAAUAAUUUAUUUUGUAAUAAACAGUGUUCCAAAAAUACAGUCUUCUGCAAUAGUACCAGUGCAACCCACUGCUAAUGUACUGAUAACUUGGACAGUUUUGUCUUGAUCAUAAGGAUUUUACACAAGUACUGUCAUCAUGUAUACAAAAUUUCUUUUUCUAAUCUGCUUCCACGCUGCUUGAUGUGUCAAGGAUUUAGAGUAAUUAAUUUCAAGUAAACCAAUGUUAUUCCAUAUUCCUAAUAAAUCUCUAUAAAGCUGUACGCAUUCUACAGGUACUAAUUCAAAAAACCAACCAAAAAAAUCCAAUUUCAUGACUAUUUGUUAUAGGGAACAAAGUGUAGUGGUGGGACACAAGAAUUAAAUGCUUAAUUAGAAGUGCAGUGUAUAGCCCUUCUUAAAAAGCUAAGCAUUUGCUCUGUGUGAAGUAGAGAACUUUUGGAUGAACAGAUUGCAAUGAAAACAUUAGCAUGCAGUAUCUUCUGGGAUGUGACUAAUCUCAGACCUGUCUUAAAUGUACCAUGAGGUUCUUAUAUUUUUUCAAAGAGACAAGUGUACAGUAACAUUCUCCAUGCAUGUUUUCGGAGGCAAAAUGUGUUUAGUUUCUCCUUGUGUUUCUCCCAGUCUGUUGCUUAAGACAGCCAUACAGACGUCAUUGUUCGUCCUGCAAUGUGACAUUAUACUUCAUAUAGAAGAAUAAAUUACAAUAGUAUUUUUCUUUUUGUCCAUUUUUGUCAACCUGAUAACAAAACUGUGUUUAAGCUAAUAAACUGAGAACAAAUUUGCUUCCCAA